rnacentral:lncRNA from 13 species
UUUCUAUUCCAGGAGAAUAGGAGGAGAAAAUAAGGCAAAAAUCAACAGCAGCCAAAUCUGGACCAUCUAGUGACUUAUGCUCAUCGAUUAGGACUGCAUCACCUGGGUACAUUAAAUUUCAAGAAAUUCUGAGAGUGAUCGUGUUUCUGCUACUGAAUGAGUUUCCGGCUCUGUUUUAAAUCAGCUACCGAAGGACACUAUAGUCUU